UUUCCUUACACAGGAAUAUUUCAUAACAGCACAAUGUACAUUUUUUUAAUGGAACAGUACAAUGGAUUUCAUUGCUCUCUCUUGUGAGACAUGCUCCAGCUGCCACAACUUGCCAUCCUACAAUGAGAGGUAUAUAACAAUUAACAUCUUGAACAUGAGAGGAGCAAGUAGGCAAUCAAUUACAGAAAUUAAAUGAGGACCAGACUUAUCUAGCAUGCAUUUGAAAUUUAGACAGUUGGUAUAUCCUCGUCAAGUAGGCAAUCAAUUACAGAAAUUAAAUGAGGACCAGACUUUACAAUUACAAUACCAAAGGACAAAUCCAUCAAUCCACGAGGCAAAAUAUGAGUGAAUCCAAAAAGAGGCAGAAAGGAAUACCGAUUUUGAUCCAGAGGGGUUCGUGAGCAUGGCCAUCUUCCAUAACAGGUUGGCCCUAACACACCCUGGAUCAGACGCGCUGGGAGCUUGUAGCUUGUCCUAGUCAUACUGCUAUCCUAAGUAACAGGAAAAAUCAAAGCAACAAUUUAGACUUGAUGUUAACGAACAGACACUGGAAAUCAAUAGCAUAUUAAGCACCAAUUUUCUCGGAUGCAAGGAGAAGAGGAGCAGAACGACACAGAGAGGUGGGACAUUUGUCGUACCUGUAGAUGAUGUUCGCAGCCAAGGAAGAUACAUGGGGCAGCCUUACAUGUGUGCUUGCUUCACCGGUGCAUGCAUCACCAUAGCAGCCAAGCAAGUAGGCAUCAUCAACAUCUCCUCACCACUUUCCUGGCAACAGACCAUUUGGUGUAAGGCAAUUUCAUAUGUAUAGACCUAGAAUUAAUCACAAGGGAUAGGGAGGGAAUUACUCAUGUAUAUUUUUACUAAUACUGCUAGGUUGCUAGCUAGCUGCACGUAUACAUCU
rnacentral:lncRNA from 1 species